rnacentral:rRNA from 1 species
UACGUAGGGGGCGAGCGUUGUCCGGAAUCAUUGGGCGUAAAGCGCGUGUAGGCGGCCCGGUAAGUCCGCUGUGAAAGUCCAGGGCUCAACCCUGGGAUGCCGGUGGAUACUGUCGGGCUCGAGUCCGGAAGAGGCGAGUGGAAUUCCUGGUGUAGCGGUGAAAUGCGCAGAUAUCAGGAGGAACACCAAUGGCGAAGGCAGCUCGCUGGAACGGUACUGACGCUGAGGCGCGAAAGCGUGGGGAGCGAACAGG